rnacentral:lncRNA from 1 species
CUCCCCUCUCUCCUGUACUCUGAGGGAGUAACCAGGGUAGUUUACAGUCACUUGCAAUUCCUUUUAGCUGAUAAACUGUGCUUCUCUGAGCCAGACUGGGUCACAUGGGGCCUGACCAUCACUUGGGUGCUGUACUGAAGCCCUACUACAGGCCCGCCUGCCAGAGGGAUUGACAAGGCAGAAGUCAGCAGGAAGGGCGAGGCCCCUGCCUGUGUGGAGCUCACGUGCUAAUGCAGGAGGCUGAGAGUGUGGAGCAUAGCCAGUAAAUAAGCAGGAAGGUGCCAGGUCAUAUUGUCAGUGCAGUGCAGAGAUGACACAGUGACGUGAGACACUGAUGAGACGGCUGCUUCCAAACAUGAGGCCAGGAUAGGUCUCACUAGGAGAGGACUUUUUUAAAUUGUGGUAAAAUACACACACUCUAAAAUCAAUCCUCAUAAGCACGUCUAGGUGCACACAGCUCAGUGGCAUUAGCAAUUUCACAUCCUCCUGCAGCCAUCAGCUCCUUCCACACCCAGAACUCUCCUUGUCUUACAAAAGAGAAACUCUGUGCCCCUUGAAGGAGGAAGGGACUUCUAAGUAGAGGCCCAAAUGACUAGAAAAAUGGGCCAGUGUUGGGGGCUUUUGGGGAAGAGAAAACAGCUCAGCAGACACAGGGGAGGCAGAAACACGGGAGGCAAGCAUGAGACACAGAGGGUGUAUCGGAGGGGGCUCUGAGGGGCACGGCCAAGCCAGGGAAGGUGUAUAGAUUUUCUUCUAAAGGCCAUGGUGUAUUAGUCUGUUCUCAUGCUGCUAAUAAAAACAUCACCAAGACUGGGCAAUUUAUAAAGGAAGGAGCUUUAAUGGACUCAUGAACUCACAGUUACACAUGGCUGGGGAGGCCUCACAGUCAUGACGGAAGGCAAAGGAGAAGCAAAGGCAAGUCUUACAUGGCGGUAGGCAAGACAGCUUGUGCAGGGGAACUGCCUUUUAUAAAACCAUCAUAUCUCAUGAGACUUAUUCACUAUCAUGAGAACAGUAAGGGGGAACCGCCCCUGUGAUUCAAUUCUCUCCACCUCGUCCUGGCCUUGACACAUGGGGAUUUUAACAUUCAAGGUGAGAUUUGGGUGCGGACACAGCCAAACCAUAUCACAUGGGAAGCACUGCAGGACUUCAAGUGAGGGAUGUGGCAUGACCAACGCAGGGCUAAAGAACCCAUCUCUCCAUGGUGUGGACUGAAACAGCCACUGCAGCCUGGGGAGCCUCAGGGCAGCUUGGGCGAGGUGAAGAACGGACAUGCAGAGAACAAGGAAGUUUGGGGGACAGCGUGACAGGAUGUGUCAACAGAUCAGGUACAUGGGGGUGCAAAGCAUCUGGG